ACAGAUCCAGGCUGUCUCUUGCGGUGCGCAUGCACCUACCGUAUCGUUAUCAACGUCUCCGAGGCAGAUUGCGUGCGGGAAGAGGCUCCCGCUGAACUCCAGCGCCACGCGCUGCACGUAGCUAACUGACCUCAUGGCACCUCCAAGAGCAGAGGGAGCGGAGAGGCCCAGUAAAUAUUCCCUGAACCCCCGUCGCGACAGCCGCCAGAGCGGAAGGCCACCUAAGGCAGCAAGUUACGUCACUGCCUGAACCUCCAAUCUCUGCCUCUUCCUCCUUUAACCUUACAGAGGAGGCGGGUCUUCCGGGCUUGGAGGCGGGCUUCCCAACUCUGAUGUUCUGAGGUGUUUUGCAUUUGGAAAGGGAAAAUUAGUCACUGAGACGUAACAGGAAUAAGGUUUGAGAAGUUCUGCUUUCUAACUUUUUCCAGUAAUGACAUUUUCUAAAAAGAUACUACACUUUACUAGUCCUGCAUAAAGUGCCU
rnacentral:lncRNA from 1 species